rnacentral:rRNA from 1 species
AUAACGUAUCUGGAAGGCAUCUUCCGGAUACCAAAGAUUUUAUCGCCGAAGGAUGGGCUCGCGUCUGAUUAGAUAGUUGGCGGGUAACGGCCCACCAAGUCGACGAUCAGUAGCCGGACUGAGAGGUUGAACGGCCACAUUGGGACUGAGAUACGGCCCAGACUCCUACGGGAGGCAGCAGUGGGGAAUAUUGGGCAAUGGGGCAACCCUGACCCAGCAACGCCGCGUGGAGGAAGAAGGCUUUCGGGUUGUAAACUCCUUUGACGAGGGACGAUAGUGACGGUACCUCGAAACAAGCCACGGCUAACUACGUGCC